CCCAGCCAGCUAUCGUCAUUUUCAUUAGACACCUGGCAGAAGGCAAUGGAAACCUUCCACAGAAAGGCUCCUCCUUCCCCCCAGGGAGACGAGGGUGUGAGAUGCUGCAGAUACAGGGCUUCCAGUUAGAAGCACAAGAUUAUCUGCCCUGUGGUUUGGUCCACUAAGACAAACUGGAAUUUGUGACUCUUUCAUAUAUACGAACUGAUGAAGAGUCAGACCUCAAAGCUUGAGCUCUGGACAAGUGUGUAGAAAGAAACCAAGACUUAGCCAAAAGAAAUCAGACCUCCUUGCACUGAUAGAAUGGACCAAAGCAGGAUGGACCGCACAGGAGAGAAUUGCAGAGCCUAGAGCUGAGGAACACAGGUCAACUGAACUGUGCUCUCAACCACACUGGCCCAGGAAGACCACCACUUCCUCAGGAUGGUGGAGCUGCAGAAAGACACGUACGCGGGCUACAGGUCCUUGAUGCACCCUUGCGAUGCCACCCUGGGACCCCAGGGAAGUCAUACAGCUUGGACAGCAAAGAGAGAACAGCUCCUCAAGUUGUGGGGAGAAUUGGAUGAGACUGCACUGUAUUGGGAGUUUGAGUAAAGGCUCUAACGUAGUCUACUGCUUGUUUGAAGAAAAGGAGAUACUCAGAAGGUCAUCGCAGACAAGCCUGAGAACCACCCGAUCAGAUAGUCCAUGUUUCCCCAGCCACCGAGGAGAAGAAUUACCCUAGGGAACUUACUCAGCACUGAUUCCCAUGCCUCAACCCACAACCACUGAUGAGCAUUUCCAAGGAUGAGGCUGGUCAUGUGAGCAUCUGUCCAAGGGGUUCUUAUCAUCUGGCAGGUUUGAGGAGUGCCGGGCUUGAUUCUGGCUGCAGGAAUGCACAGGUCACUUCCACUGAGAGCCCCUUUACAGGUGACAAGGGUUUUUCACACACCAUGUGACUGACCUUCACACUGUGAGGCAGAAAGGGGAAUGUUCGCCCUCAUUUUCAGAUGGGGAGCCAGGAGCUCAGGGACAUCAGAGGAACUCCGGAAACAACAGUGCUGGGAGCCUUGAGGCUCAGCUUCUGGGUCAUGCUCCCCAUCAGACCUGGCGGGUUUUGCAGUCACUCCUCCACACUUACUUUUUCCUUCACUGUGCAUAUUGGGUCCUGCAAGAACAAUCCCAAGAGAACAGGCCCCGGUCUGGAACAAGGAAUCGGCCAUCAAGAUGGCCGGGGCUCACUGCCGGGAUACAAGUGUCUCAGCUGCACGUAACCCAGGAGGGGCGGUGCUGCCCAGCUGGUCUCCUCUUCUCUAAAGGCAACACAAGCAAAAGGCUUUCUUGGUGCAGACUCUAGUCCUCUGGGUCUAGACUCCUGGGGGCACCCAGAAGGAUUCCCUUUGGCCUUCUGAGCUCAUAACUCCCACCACGUGUGCCAUGUUUCUGUGUUUUGGGUCUCACCAUUUUCAAGCCGAUAGUGGCAAAGACUCUCUGCUUGACUGAACACUAGUCAGCCUUCUAAAACCUCUAGGCCCAUCUGAGCACUUUCUUGUAAAACCCAGUUUGAGCAGAGAACCCACUAAAUCAGUUGGCAAAAAUGCUACACCUUCAAUACCUGAUCGCCCUUGAUAUCUAAUCAGGUUUCUCAUCCUCCACCCCCCCGGGUGCUGUCUGAUCACCCUGGCCUGUUUUCAGCUAGAAUCCUGGUAGGUUGGUUUAGCCAGAAUCCCUUUUAACCCUGAGGAUUUCCCUUAGUGGUUUCCAUCCACUGCCCCCACCGUGCUCCUUGGCUGUAAAUUCCCACUUGCAUAUGUCAUGUUCAGAGUUGAACCUAAUCUCUCCCCAUCUGCAAAACCCCAUUGCCGUGGUCCCAAUGCCUAUCUUGAGGGCUCCUUAUGUGCUUUCACAAGUGUCAUUGAAUAAUUUUUUCUUUAACAAUAGAUGUAACUGCAAAAAAGUUGCAGAAUCUCCUAUCAUAGUGGAGCAAAAGAAAGAAGUGAACACUCCCAAUGAGCCUCCCAGCCCCACUGUCCUCCUUGUGGUCCCCAACGAGUCAUGUGAGGGAUCAGUUGGAUUUGGAGAGCUUGUAAUUCAGCCACUCUUCAGGGAGAGUGCAUCAGACACUAAAUCAAUUACUUCGACACAUGCUCUUGUAGAGCACAAACAUCUCUGACAGGACCACACUUGCUCAGCCCAGGAAACAAGCUACAUGUUUCUAGGGAGUGUGUUAAUCCAGCUGGUUGGUAGGAAUGUGAGUUUCUCCAAACCUACCGCAUGGCCUUGGGCUCUGUAGGGAGGCAGGAGUGAGUAAUGGCAGUGAGGGAGCUGAUCGUAAAAUAAGACCCAUGGCACACUUCAUAUCUGGAAGGAAUUAAAAAUCCAGCUGGGUUGGCAUAGUCACUUUUGAAAACAGUUUGGCAGUUCAUUAAAAAGUUAUGUACAUACUUGUGAUAUAACCCAGUAAUUUCGCUCCUAGGUAUCUAUCCAAGAGAAAUGAAAACAUACAUCCACAAAAAGGUUUCAACAUGGAUGUUCAUAGCAAUGUCAUUCAUAGGAGCCAAAAAGCAGAAAUAACACAAAUGUAGAUAUACUGAUGAAUGGAUAAACAAAAUGGGGUACAUCCCUACGAUGGAAAUUGCUCAACAAUUAAAAAGGAACAAACUACUAAUACAUGCAACAACGUGCUAAAACAUUGUGUUAAGGGAAAGAAGCCAGACAGGCCAGACUACAUGUUGUAUUAUUUCAUUUCAGUGAAAUUCUAGAAAAGGCAAAACUAUGGCAGCAGAAAGCCAUAGAUCCAUGGUUGCCUGGAUGGGGAUGGGAGUGGAGAUUGACUGCAAUUUUGAGAGGUGAUGGAAGUCUUCUAACAGUGGGUUGUGAUGAUGGUUACACAACUGUAACCAUUUACAUUUCCUAAAAGUCAUUGAACUGUAGAUUUUAAAAAGUUAUGUAAGUUAUACCUUAAUGAAGCUGUUCUAAAAAUCUAAUUGAGUAAAGUGUAAUACAACUCACCCAGCAAUUAGCAACACCAUGGAUGUCUUUGGUUUUUAAAGUAUUGCUUGAUUUUGAACCUCACCUUUGUAUUCUCCAGGGCAGAUUACACGUGUCCAGGAGCUUCACGACUGUGUCCAGAAGCUUCACGACUAUGUGUGGAAUCACGAAUGAAUGAGUGUGCCGGCCCGCAUGCUUACGUGGUGCCAGGCACCAUUCUAAACACACACAUGUUAUCACCUCAUUUAAUCCCCAAGGUAAACCUAGGAGGAUGGCAUUUGAUUAUUAUUAUACCCCAGUUGAAGAAACUGGGGACAGAGAAGUUGCUUAGCUUGUCCCAAAGUAUUUCACACUUUGAAUUGGUAAUCCCCACUACUUCAGAAUGUGACUGUGAAGACAGGGCCUCUAAAGAGGUACUUAAGUUAAAAGAAGUUGUUAGAGUGGACCCCAAAACCAAUAUGACUGGGGUCCUUAUAAGAAGAGAUGAGGACACAGACACACACACAGGUUCUCUGGAAAAAACCCACACAAAACCUUUUGUGGUUAAUAAACCACCCCUAUUGUAAAAUGCUUCAGCAACUGUUCCUUUUCCAUCCUUGCCUCAACAGAAGUCUGGCCACGCUCUGAAGGAGGUGCUCCCCAGUAGUUUUCUAGUGUGUCUGGCCAUUCUCCUACACCCCCGAAUCUCUCCUCUUCCUGCUGCCUUGAGCCUGUUACUCCUCCCUCUUUGUAGCCAGUUGCCUACCAGACAUGUCCACUUGGCAUCACAGCUUGAUAUAGACAAACUUCACCAUGAUCCUCAUCUCAAUGAAUGACUCAUCAUCAAGCCAGUUGUCAAAUACAGAACCCAUAUAUGGGGUCUUCAUUCUGUCGCUCAGACUGGAGUGCAGCAGUGCAAUCAUAGCUCACUGCAGCCUCAAACUCAUGGGCUCAAGAGAUUCUCUCACCUCAGCCUCCUGUAGCCCAUUCUUGAUCCCUCUCUCCCCCUUACAUGUAAUCAAUUGCCAAUCCCAUUGGUUCUACUCCCCAGCUGUCUCCAGAAUCUUCUCCCAGUCUCUAGUCAUCCCUAGAAUCACUGCCCUAGUUCAGGGCCCUGUUGCCUUUCUCCCAGUUAGCUAAAACAAUUCUGUAUUUUCUGUCCCUGCCUCCCACUUCCCUCACAAUCUAUUCUCCACACUGGAGCCAAGGACUUCUAAAAUGCAAAUCUGAGAUGUCAUUUCUCUGCUUAAAACAUUUUAAUCACUCCCCAUUGCCCAGAGUAAUAUUCAAAAUCUUUACCACAGCUUAUAAGGUCAUUCAUAAUGGAACAGGGAUAAAAUAAAAUCUGCUGGGUAAGUAUUUACAUUCCUUCUCUCCUGUGAGCCCUCCCACUGCCCUCCACACACAUGAGUACCCUCUAAUGAAGGAGAGUACUGUGAUCUGAGCUUUAAUUUUUCCUUGCUCAGGGCAGUGAGUGAGCUGCCCAGCUGGAAGAAGCCCGGAAUGCCUAGACUGAUUUGCUUCAAAACGAACAAAAGCAAGUUGCUAAAGAACUCACAGACCUGGCUCCCAGUCCCCGAAGUGAAACUAGGUUUGGACCUCUUAGCCACCUAGUAACUGCAGAAGCCUUGCCACAGGGAGCCAUUGGUCCAGGGGCAGUGCCCAGAGAGAGGCAAUGUUCCAAUGGAACCUAUUACCACAAGUAUCAAAAACAAAUCAAAGCCACUGCCUGGAGAGCUUGCAUAAUUAUUUCAGAUGUGAAAGAAGGCAUACGUGUGGAGCUUAAAGUUUUAAAAGACAUAUUUCCUUGAAAAGUAUAUCUAUAUACUCAUCUUAUUAUUAUACUCAUCUCUUGGAAAUAAUAAAAAUAGCUAAAAUUUCU
rnacentral:lncRNA from 1 species